GAAAUGCGAUAAGUAAUGAGAAUUGCAGAAUUCAGUGAAUCAUCGAAUCUUUGAACGCACCUUGCGCUCCUUGGUAUUCCUUGGAGCAUGCCUGUUUGAGUAUCAUGAAAUCUUCAAAGUAAAUCUUUUGUUAACUCAAUUGGUUUCUACUUUGGUAUUGGAGGUCUUUGCAGCUUCACACCUGCUCCUCUUUGUUCAUUAGCUGGAUCUCAGUGUUAUGCUUGGUUCCACUCGGCGUGAUAAGUUAUCUAUCGCUGAGGACACUGUAAAAGGUGGCCAAGGUAAAUGCAGAUGAACCGCUUCUAAUAGUCCAUUGACUUGGACAAUACUUUUAUGAUCUGAUCUGAAAUCAGGUAGGACUACCCGCUGAACUUAAGC
rnacentral:misc_RNA from 1 species